rnacentral:lncRNA from 1 species
UUUGGUUUAUAGUACCUUUUAGACAAGUGUGUACUUUUCUUAUGAACUACUGCAAUUUUUCAUAUUUUCUCGUGCAAUUUGGUUUAUAAUAGUUUGUUUAGAAUGGUGUGUUUUUUUUUGUUGAACCACUGCAUAUUUUUAUAUUUUCUUCUGCAAGAGUUGAAUUAGAAAAAACAGAAAUAAGUGCAUCUAUUCGGGUUAUCACACAUCUCAUGGGAAAUAGGUCAUCUCAACAAUAUACCCAUCCCUUAUCCUUCAAACCAAACACCAAUUUGGCUAUCUUCAACUACUUGAAAUCCCUCCCAACCAAACAGAAAAAGAGGCUAUCCCUAGCUGAGUGGCUGGGGAUACCCACAACCACUCAAACAUAUCCAUCAAACCAAACACACCCAUAUCAUAGAAAGGCGUCCCACCUUCUCGACGGUUCGCCCCAAUGAAUGGAGCUAGUGGGACGAAUUUAAGGAGAAAGAUAUACCUGCACACUUUUAUCUGGUACUUAUUCCACUUGCCCUAAAAGGUUUUAGAGCACUAUAAUUUGUAUACGAGUAAGAAUAUCAGGAUAUUUUAUACAAACUUGGAUCAUAUAGACACUUCAAACAACCAAAAACACAGCAUAGAACAUAGGACAUCAUAUAGACACUUCAAACAACCAAAAACACAGCAUAGAACAUAGGACAUCAUAUAGACACUUCAAACAACCAAAAACACAGCAUAGAACAUAGGACAGUCAUGUUAUGGAGCCAAAAGGGCUUGCCUAAAAUUAUCCUACCUGAUACUGUACAUACAAGAAAGAAGAAUAAAGGAGUCAUGUUGAUUCCCGGCAAAAAUUUCUACACACAACAGUUCAUCAACCUACAGGCCCCACUGCACAUUUUCACUCCCUAGGAACCAAACUCAACUCAC